rnacentral:rRNA from 1 species
UACGUAGGCAGCAAGCGUUGUUCGGAAUUACUGGGCGUAAAGAGUGUGUAGGCGGUGUUCUAAGUCUGUGGUGAAAUCUCCCGGCUUAACUGGGAGGGUGCGGCGGAAACUGGAAUGCUAGAGGAUGGGAGAGGUAAGCGGAAUUCCUGGUGUAGCGGUGAAAUGCGUAGAUAUCAGGAGGAACACCUGUGGUGUAGACAGCUUACUGGACCAUUUCUGACGCUGAGACACGAAAGCGUGGGGAGCAAACAGG